AGUGAAGCGGGAUGAGCUCAAAUUUAAAAUCUGGCUGGUUUACUAGUCCGAAUUGUAGUUUAUAGAAGCGUUUUCGGUGGCAGCCUGGGUAUAAAUCCUUUGGAAUAGGGUAUCAUAGAGGGUGAGAAUCCCGUCUUUGACUCAGUGCAUGCUACUAUGUGAUACGUUUUCAAAGAGUCGAGUUGUUUGGGAAUGCAGCUCAAAAUGGGUGGUAAAUUUCAUCUAAAGCUAAAUAUUGGCGAGAGACCGAUAGCGAACAAGUACCGUGAGGGAAAGAUGAAAAGAACUUUGAAAAGAGAGUUAAACAGUGCGUGAAAUUGUUGAAAGGGAAACGCUUGACACCAGUCAUGCGAGUGGAAAAUCAGUCUUUUGCAAUGGGGAGUUGUGGGCGUUCAGACCGCAAGGCUGGCGUUUGCUUCAUCUUUGUUGUAAGUGAUGCACUUUUUCAUUUGCAGGUCAACAUCAGUUUGCUUUGCUGGACAAAACCCCAAGGGAAGGUGACAGCUUAGGCUGUGUUAUAGCCCUGGGGCGAUACAGUGGAGUGGACUGAGGUUUUCGCAGUGUGUGCUCUCUGGGCAAGGCUGACUGGGUGCUAUGGGAUCGUUCGGCGUACAAUGCAUGCAUUUUGCGCCGUGUCUUUUUCAUACUCGCUCAACUCGGCUCUUCCACACUUAGGAUGUUGACUUAAUGGUUUUAAUCGACCCGUCUUGAAACACGGACCAAGGAGUCUAACAUAUAUGCAAGUGUUUGGGUGGCAAACCCAUGCGCGUAAUGAAAGUGAACGUAGGUGCCAUCCGCAAGGUGCAGCAUCGACCGAUCUUGAUAUUUUUGGAUAGAUUUGAGUAAGAGCAUAUAUGCUGGGACCCGAAAGAUGGUGAACUAUGCCUGAAUAGGGUGAAGCCAGAGGAAACUCUGGUGGAGGCUCGUAGCGAUUCUGACGUGCAAAUCGAUCGUCAAAUUUGGGUAUAGGGGCGAAAGACUAAUCG
rnacentral:rRNA from 2 species